UACGUAGGGGGCAAGCGUUAUCCGGAUUUACUGGGUGUAAAGGGAGCGUAGACGGCAGGGCAAGUCUGGAGUGAAAGCCCGGGGCCCAACCCCGGGACUGCUUUGGAAACUGCCAUGCUGGAGUGCUGGAGAGGUAAGCGGAAUUCCUAGUGUAGCGGUGAAAUGCGUAGAUAUUAGGAGGAACACCAGUGGCGAAGGCGGCCGCCUGGCCUGUUGCUGACGCUGAGGCACGAAAGCGUGGGGAGCAAAUAGG
rnacentral:rRNA from 1 species